rnacentral:rRNA from 1 species
UACGUAGGGCGCAAGCGUUGUCCGGAAUUAUUGGGCGUAAAGAGCUCGUAGGCGGUCUGUUGCGUCUGCCGUGAAAACCCGAGGCUUAACCUCGGGCCUGCGGUGGAUACGGGCAGACUAGAGGUAGGUAGGGGAGAAUGGAAUUCCCGGUGUAGCGGUGAAAUGCGCAGAUAUCGGGAGGAACACCGGUGGCGAAGGCGGUUCUCUGGGCCUUACCUGACGCUGAGGAGCGAAAGCAUGGGGAGCGAACAGG